rnacentral:rRNA from 1 species
GACGAACGCUGGCGGCGUGCUUAACACAUGCAAGUCGAACGGAGAGGCCCUGCUUUUGUGGGGUGCUCGAGUGGCGAACGGGUGAGUAACACGUGAGUAACCUGCCCUUGACUUUGGGAUAACUUCAGGAAACUGGGGCUAAUACCGGAUAGGAGCUCCUGCUACAUGGUGGGGGUUGGAAAGUUUCGGCGGUUGGGGAUGGACUCGCGGCUUAUCAGCUUGUUGGUGGGGUAGUGGCUUACCAAGGCUUUGACGGGUAGCCGGCCUGAGAGGGUGACCGGCCACAUUGGGACUGAGAUACGGCCCAAACUCCUACGGGAGGCAGCAGUGGGGAAUAUUGCACAAUGGGCGGAAGCCUGAUGCAGCAACGCCGCGUGCGGGAUGACGGCCUUCGGGUUGUAAACCGCUUUCGCCUGUGACGAAGCGUGAGUGACGGUAAUGGGUAAAGAAGCACCGGCUAACUACGUG